rnacentral:rRNA from 1 species
GCCAAACAGCUAGCUCAAUUACCCAAUAACUAAACAAUAUAAAUAAAACAAAAUAAGCCUAACACCAAAAAUUAAAUCAUUCUUUUACCUUAGUAUGGGCGACAGAAAAGGUUACACCUGGAGCAAUAGAAAAAGUACCGCAAGGGAAAGCUGAAAGAGAAAUGAAAUAACUUAUAUAAGCACCAAAAAGCAAAGAUUAAAUCUUGUACCUUUCGCAUCAUGAUUUAGCCAGUAUAUCCAAGCAAAGAGACCUUUAGUUUGAAACCCCGAAACCAAGUGAGCUACCCCGAGACAGCCUAUUAAGGGCCAACCCGUCUCUGUGGCAAAAGAGUGGGAAGAGCUCCGGGUAGAGGUGACAGACCUACCGAACUUGGUGAUAGCUGGUUGCCUAAGAAGUGAAUAGAAGUUCAGCCUCGUACUCCCUGAAUCAAAAGAUAUAAAAAGAUAUUAGAGGGAAAUAUAUGAGAGUUAGUUAAAGGGGGUACAGCCCCUUUAACAAAGGACACAACCUUUCCAGGAGGAUAAAGAUCAUAAUACAUAAGACAUCCUGUUCUAGUGGGCCUAAAGGCAGCCAUCUAAACAGAAAGCGUUAAAGCUCAGACAGAAAUAAGUUUAUUAUUCCGACAAGAAAUCUUACUCCCCUAAAUAUUAUUAGGCCAGCCCAUGCCCACAUGGGAGAGACUAUGCUAAAAUGAGUAACAAGAAGGCCAGCCCUUCUCCAAGCACAAGUGUAAGCCAAACCGGACCGACCAUUGGCAAUUAACGAACUCAACCCGAGAGAGUAAUGUGUAUUACAACGAAACCAGGAAGAACCCACAAUUAACCCAUCGUUACCCCCACACUGGCGUGUUAUUAAAGGAAAGACUAAAAGAAGGGAAAGGAACUCGGCAAACACAAGCCUCGCCUGUUUACCAAAAACAUCGCCUCCUGCAACACAACCAAGUAUAGGAGGUCCAGCCUGCCCAGUGACUACAAGUUCAACGGCCGCGGUAUUUUGACCGUGCAAAGGUAGCGCAAUCACUUGUCUCUUAAAUGGAGACCUGUAUGAAUGGCUAAACGAGGGCUUAACUGUCUCCCCCCUCCAGUCAGUGAAAUUGAUCUACCCGUGCAGAAGCGGG